rnacentral:rRNA from 2 species
UGGGAAUCUUCGGCAAUGGACGAAAGUCUGACCGAGCAACGCCGCGUGAGUGAAGAAGGUUUUCGGAUCGUAAAACUCUGUUGUUAGAGAAGAACAAGGAUGAGAGUAACUGUUCAUCCCUUGACGGUAUCUAACCAGAAAGCCACGGCUAACUACGUGCCAGCAGCCGCGGUAAUACGUAGGUGGCAAGCGUUGUCCGGAUUUAUUGGGCGUAAAGCGAGCGCAGGCGGUUUCUUAAGUCUGAUGUGAAAGCCCCCGGCUCAACCGGGGAGGGUCAUUGGAAACUGGGAGACUUGAGUGCAGAAGAGGAGAGUGGAAUUCCAUGUGUAGCGGUGAAAUGCGUAGAUAUAUGGAGGAACACCAGUGGCGAAGGCGGCUCUCUGGUCUGUAACUGACGCUGAGGCUCGAAAGCGUGGGGAGCAAACAGGAUUAGAUACCCUGGUAGUCCACGCCGUAAACGAUGAGUGCUAAGUGUUGGAGGGUUUCCGCCCUUCAGUGCUGCAGCUAACGCAUUAAGCACUCCGCCUGGGGAGUACGACCGCAAGGUUG